GACGAACGCUGGCGGCGUGCCUAAUACAUGCAAGUCGAACGCAGUGGGGACGGGUGAGUAACCCGUGGGUAACCUCCCAUCAGAGGGGAUAACACUUGGAAACAGGUGCUAAACCGAUACUGAUGGAUGGACCCGCGGUGCAUUAGGUAGUUGGUGAGGUAACGGCUAACCAAGGCCACGAUGCAUAGCGGACCGGAGAGGGUGAUCGGCACCACGGGGACUGGGACACGGCCCAGACUCCUACGGGAGCAGGCAGUGGGGAAUCUUCGGAAAUGGACGAAAGUUUGACCGAGAAACGCCGCGUGAGUGAAGAAGUUUUUCGGAUCGUAAACCUCUGUUGUUAGAGAAGCGGUAUCUAACCAGAAAGCCACGGCUAACUACGUGCCAGCCGCCGCGGUAAUUC
rnacentral:rRNA from 1 species